GAUGAACGCUGGCGGCGUGCCUAAUACAUGCAAGUCGAGCGAACAGACGAGGAGCUUGCUCCUCUGACGUUAGCGGCGGACGGGUGAGUAACACGUGGAUAACCUACCUAUAAGGCUGGGAUAACUUCGGGAAACCGGAGCUAAUACCGGAUAAUAUAUUGAACCGCAUGGUUCAAUAGUGAAUGACGGUUUUGCUGUCACUUAUAGAUGGAUCCGCGCCGCAUUAGCUAGUUGGUAAGGUAACGGCUUACCAAGGCAACGAUGCGUAGCCGACCUGAGAGGGUGAUCGGCCACACUGGAACUGAGACACGGUCCAGACUCCUACGGGAGGCAGCAGUAGGGAAUCUUCCGCAAUGGGCGAAAGCCUGACGGAGCAACGCCGCGUGAGUGAUGAAGGUCUUCGGAUCGUAAAGCUCUGUUAUUAGGGAAGAACAAAUGUGUAAGUAACUAUGCACGUCUUGACGGUACCUAAUCAGAAAGCAACGGCUAACUACGUG
rnacentral:rRNA from 1 species